UACGGAGGGUGCAAACGUUGCUCGGAAUCAUUGGGCGUAAAGCGCCCGUAGGCGGCCUGAUAAGUCGGGUGUGAAAGCCCUGGGCUCAACCCAGGAAGUGCACUCGAAACUGCCAGGCUUGAAUAUGGAAGAGGGUCGCGGAAUUCCCGGUGUAGAGGUGAAAUUCGUAGAUAUCGGGAGGAACACCAGUGGCGAAGGCGGCGACCUGGGCCAAUAUUGACGCUGAGGUGCGAAAGCGUGGGGAGCAAACAGG
rnacentral:rRNA from 1 species